rnacentral:pre_miRNA from 1 species
AGUAUUAUGGCUAGGUCAUACGGUAAGUUUCAUUGUAUAAGAAACUACCAAACUGUCUUCCAGGGUAGCCAUACAAUUUUGCAUUUCCAUCAGCAAU